rnacentral:misc_RNA from 1 species
AUAUAUCAAGCAACAAUUGUUUUUAUUAACAAUUGUCUGUUUGGACGUUGGAUGUUUGCUGGACAGUUAUAUGUCACCCGGCUCAUCCGAAAUCUAUUAGCUGGUCUUAAUAUCAUGGAUUUAUCCACUUGGCGUGAUAAGUAUCACCCGCUGAGGACUUGUCCAGAGAUAAUGGACCGCUUCUAAUCCCAGAUACUAUUGUAUUGUACUGAAUCAU